rnacentral:misc_RNA from 1 species
GAUGAAGAACGUAGCGAAAUGCGAUAAGUAAUGUGAAUUGUAGAAUUCAGUGAAUCAUCGAAUCUUUGAACGCACAAUGCGCCCGCCAGUAUUCUGGCGGGCAUGCCUGUUCGAGCGUCAUUUCAACCCUCAGGCCCCCAGUGCCUGGUGUUGGGGAUCGGCCCAGCCUUCCUGUAAGGCCGCCGGCCCCGAAAUCUAGUGGCGGUCUCGCUGUAGUCCUCCUCUGCGUAGUAGCACAACCUCGCAGUUGGAACGCGGCGGUGGCCAUGCCGUUAAACACCCCACUUCUGAAAGUUGACCUCGGAUCAGGUAGGAAUACCCGCUGAACUUAAGCAUAUCAAUAAGCGGAGGA